rnacentral:lncRNA from 1 species
GGGCUUCUCGUUAAAUCUCCGCCUUGGAACAAAACUUUGGACGACCGAAAUCGGAGUGAAGGAGCUGCGGAGGCCUGUCAUCUUGGUGGUCACCCCUGUCCGGGCGUGGUUGUAUACAAACAGGAGCACAGAGAAGGAAAUGGCCAAAACCCGGGGAGAAGGGAGGUCCCCUGCGCCCACGUGUCAGGGCACGUUUCAUGGCUGCUGCGAGUGGAAACAGACCGGGAGUUUAUUAGACCUUGUGGAGCUGGACCAACUUCACAGGAUUCGUUUCAUCGCUUAAAACCUGAUAACGGUGGGCCACACAAAGUCUUACUGGGCAGCAACUUCCUCUUUCUGGCCUUCACUCUCAAGACUGGAUGGGAGCAGGGCAGACACGCAGCCGGUCACAGGUUCAACCUCCCCUGGCCUCAUGGCCAGCCAGCUUUGGUUGGGGAAGAGGAGAAAAAAAUUUUGUGUCUUACCUCUCCCUCUUUUCAAGUCCUUGAGUUUGAUGUGUUCGGCAAUGAUGGCAUGAUAAUAAUAGAAGUCAUACCUAAUCUCUGUAGGUUAUUUACAGAUUACAAGACAGAUUCGCAAUUGUGUAUCAGUCGGG